AAGAACUCCUGCAGUCAGGGAACGAAGCCGUCCAGGAGCCACAGCCUGUGCUUGAGGCCGUGCCUGAGGAUUCUGAAGAGGCUGCCAAGGAGGUGGAACCGGCCGAGGCAGUCGUAGCUCAAGUACCAACUGCCACAGUGGAUGACGUCUUACCUGCACACGAGGAAAUCAAGGAGGAAGAGAGCAUAGAGCCGGCCAAGGUGGCUCUGGAUGACCAGGUGGAGAAUGUCGAGCCCAAGGAGAGUGCUUCAGUCGCGAUCCUGGACGAGGGAGAAAAGUUGGCGGUGCCAGAGAUCGAGAGUGGUGCACCGGAUUCCAUGCAUGCGACAGAUGCCACAGUGGAGGACACACAGCGAGCAUCUUCUGCCAGUGAAGACGUUCACGAGAACGUGGAAGAGGAGCAAGCGAACGUUGCGGUGCCACAUCAAGUUUCCGAACGAGAGCUUGAGAUUGCCGUCCCAGUAGAAGGACUCCCACAGUUGGUGAACGAAGCCGUCCAGGAGCCACAACCUGUGCCUGAGGCCGUUCCCGAGCCAGAGGCCGUGCCUGAGGCUGCUGAAGAGGCUGCCAAGGAGGUGGAAGCGGCCAAGCCAGUCGUAGCUCAAGUACCAACCGCCACAGUGGAUGACAUCUUACCCACACACGAGGAAAUCAAGGAGGAAGGGAGCAUAGAGCCGGCCAAGGUGGCUCUGGAUGACCACGUGGAGAAUGUCGAGCCCAGGGAGAGUGCUUCAGUCGCGAUCCUGGACGAGGGAGAAAAGUUGGCAGUGCCAGAGAUCGAGAGUGGUGCACCGGAUUCCAUGCAUGCGACACAUGGUACAAUGGAGGACUCACAGCGAGCAUCUUCUGCCAUUGAGGACAUUCACGAGAACGUGGAAGAGGAGCAAACAAAAGUCGAGGUGCCACAUGAAGUUUCCGAACGCGAGGUCGAGCUUGCCGUCCCAGUGGAACAUCUCCCACAGUCAGGGAACGAAGAAGUCCAUGAGCCACAGCCUGUGCCUGAGGCCGUUCCCGAGCAUGAGGCCGUGCCUGAGGCUGCUGAAGAGGCUUCCAAGGAGGUGGAACCGGCCGAGCCAGUCGUAGAUGAAGUACCAACCGCCACAGUGGAUGACAUCUUAC
rnacentral:lncRNA from 1 species